rnacentral:rRNA from 1 species
CCUACGGGGGGCAGCAGUGAGGAAUAUUGGUCAAUGGACGGAAGUCUGAACCAGCCAUGCCGCGUGCAGGAAGACGGCUCUAUGAGUUGUAAACUGCUUUUGUACAAGGGUAAACCUGAAUACGUGUAGACAGCUGAAAGUACGGUACGAAUAAGGAUAGGCUAACUCCGUGCCAGCAGCCGCGGUAAGACGGAGGAUCCAAGCGUUAUCCUGAUUUGUUGGGUUUAAAGGGGGCGUAGGCGGCUUGAUAAGUUAGAGGUGAAAUGUCCGAGCUUAACUCGGGAACUGCCUCUACUACUGUUGAUCUAGAUUGUAGCUGCGGUAGGCGGAAUGUAUGGUGUAGCUGUGAAAUUCUU